AGACUUCUGGUUAUUCUUCUUCAGGCAAACAGGCAGACGGGGAUCCAGGCGGAAAGCAUAGAGAGUGACGCUCAAGCCCUCUUCAAGGCUGGAGAGCAGAAGUUUGGCACUGAUGAACAAUCUUUUGUUACCAUCCUGGGUAACCGGAGUUCAGAACACCUCAGGAAAGUAUUCGACGCUUAGAAGGAAGCUGUCUGGAUAUGAGAUGGAGGAGAGUAUCAAGAGAGAAACAUGUGGAAACCUGAAGGACCUCCUCCUUGCCGUUGGUAUGCGCUCUAGACGACUCCCUGAAGUUAUUCUUUUGUUGGUUUGCCCCCCCCCCCAAAAUAAGUAGGCUUUAUUUCAAUCCUGUUAAAAGAACACAACAAUAAACUAAAAAACAAAGCAUCAGCAAAAUUAUGAAAUAAUAAAUGAAAUGUUCAAAAAGGAGUAGGAAGAGGCACAAGCUUAUUUACUUUUAGUAACUCAUAAUAUAUAUAUAUAUAUAUAUAUAUAUCAUCAAAGCUUUUUUUCCUAUUUGGAUCUUGCAAAAACCACAUUUUUGUAUCACAUUUUAAACUGGGUCAUGGGAUCAUGCUUGGACAUUGGUUCAGUUCAUCACUCAGUCUUACUACUCAUAAGUACACAGUGAUGAAUUUCCUUUCUGUGGUGUGUUUUUUGUACUGUGAAGUGUGCCAGGAGUGUUCCUUCACUAUACAAUGAAAUAUUAUGCUGAAGUGUCAGACUUCAAUUGUCUAGUUUGCACUUUGUAUGGGAGAACAUGUAUAUCCAAUAAUAAAUGCUUAAUUUGAUGAAGUUCA